rnacentral:misc_RNA from 1 species
UACAGAGGGUGCGAGCGUUAAUCGGAUUUACUGGGCGUAAAGCGUGCGUAGGCGGCUUUUUAAGUCGGAUGUGAAAUCCCCGAGCUUAACUUGGGAAUUGCAUUCGAUACUGGGAAGCUAGAGUAUGGGAGAGGUUAGUGGAAUUCGUGGUGUAGGGGUGAAAUGCGUAGAGAUCGGGAGGAAUACCAGUGGCGAAGGCGACUCUUUGGCCUAUAACUGACGCUGAGGCGCGAAAGCGUGGGGAGCAAACAGG